GUGUCAGCAGCCGCGGUAAUACGGAGGGUGCGAACGUUGCUCGGAAUUAUUGGGCGUAAAGCGCGCGUAGGCGGUUCGGCAAGUCGGGUGUGAAAGCCCUCGGCUCAACCGAGGAAGUGCAUUCGAAACUACCGAGCUUGAGUACUGAAGAGGAUGACGGAAUUCCCGGUGUAGAGGUGAAAUUCGUAGAGAUCGGGAGGAACACCAGUGGCGAAGGCGGUCAUCUGGGCAGAUACUGACGCUGAGGCGCGAAAGCGUGGGGAGCAAACAGGAUUAGAUACCCCUGUAGUCC
rnacentral:rRNA from 1 species